GACGAACGCUGGCGGCGUGCCUAAUACAUGCAAGUAGAACGCUGAAGGAGGAGCUUGCUUCUCUGGAUGAGUUGCGAACGGGUGAGUAACGCGUAGGUAACCUGCCUGGUAGCGGGUGAUAACUAUUGGAAACGAUAGCUAAUACCGCAUAAUAGUAGAUGUUGCAUGACAUUUGCUUAAAAGGUGCAAUUGCAUCACUACCAGAUGGACCUGCGUUGUAUUAGCUAGUUGGUGGGGUAACGGCUCACCAAGGCGACGAUACAUAGCCGACCUGAGAGGGGGGUCGGCCACACUGGGACUGAGACACGGCCCAGACUCCUACGGGAGGCAGCAGUAGGGAAUCUUCGGCAAUGGACGGAAGUCUGACCGAGCAACGCCGCGUGAGUGAAGAAGGUUUUCGGAUCGGAAAGCUCUGUUGUAAGGGAAGAACGAGUGUGAGAGUGGAAAGUUCACACUGUGACGGUAUCUUACCAGAAAGGGACGGCUAACUACGUG
rnacentral:rRNA from 1 species